rnacentral:rRNA from 1 species
AGCAGCCGCGGUAAUUCCAGCUCCAAUAGCGUAUAUUAAAGUUGUUGCAGUUAAAAAGCUCGUAGUUGAAUUUCGGGAUCAGUACGCUGGUCGUGCCUUUGGUAUGUACUGGUGUCACUGAUUCCUCCCUUCUGAAGAACCGUUAUGCCAUUUAUUUGGUGUGGCGGGGAAUCAGGACUGUUACUUUGAAAAAAUUAGAGUGUUUAAAGCAGGCUCGCGCUUGAAUACAUUAGCAUGGAAUAAUGAAAUAGGACGUUUGAUCUUAUUUUGUUGGUUUCUAGGAUCGACGUAAUGAUUAAUAGGGAUAGUUGGGGGCAUUAGUAUUCAAUUGUCAGAGGUGAAAUUCUUGGAUUUAUUGAAGACUAACUACUGCGAAAGCAUUUGCCAAGGAUGUUUUCAUUAAUCAAGAACGAAAGUUAGGGGAUCGAAGACGAUCAGAUACCGUCGUAGUCUUAACCAUAAACUAUGCCGACUAGGGAUCGGAUGAUGUUAAUUUUUAAUGACUCAUUCGGCGUCCG